UACGUAGGGUGCGAGCAUUAAUCGGAAUUACUGGGCGUAAAGCGUGCGCAGGCGGUGAUGUAAGACAGUUGUGAAAUCCCCGGGCUCAACCUGGGAACUGCAUCUGUGACUGCAUCGCUGGAGUGCGGCAGAGGGGAUGGAAUUCCGCGUGUAGCAGUGAAAUGCGUAGAUAUGCGGAGGAACACCGAUGGCGAAGGCAAUCCCCUGGGCCUGCACUGACGCUCAUGCACGAAAGCGUGGGGAGCAACAGG
rnacentral:rRNA from 1 species